rnacentral:miRNA from 1 species
UAUGUAAUAUGGUCCACAUCU